AAAUGGUAGGUGGGUUUUAAUUAGGUUUUAAAUGCCUUUGUAAAAUAAAUAAAAGAAAAGGAAAUGAAGGACAGCGUAACAAGUCCAAAAGAUUCGUUCGUCUCCCUCAGAGAACGCCUUUCCCUUUAUCAAUCUCUCCCUAAAUGCAGACGCUUCGAUACUCUUCAAAAAAUUCCUUAAAAUAAAUGCAAGAAUCUGAAGGGAAGUGGAACAAGUCACAACAUCUUCCGUUCAUCACUUCUAAAACCCUCUCUCUAAACACUUAUCUCAAUCCCUUCUAAAUGCAAAAACCGUGGCUUCAAAAUCAAAUCAUCCUUUUUUUAGGGUUUUUUCUCUCUUCGCCUCAAAGUUUUUAGGGUUUUUUCUCUUCCGCUGCUGUCUCCUUUUUUUUUCUUUCCUAGGGUUUUUCGUCCCCUCUCCUUUUAUACUCACUAUGUUAGGGUUUCAGAUUCGACUUAUGGAGAUCAAAAGGGUAUCCCUUGGAAGUGCUUUAAGGUGCUUCAGCUUUGUCUGCCUCAUUUGACGCUUGACCUGGAAAAGGUAAUAUGAACCACGUACUUUCCUCUUGAAUUUGCCUUAAUUCCUCUUUUGGGUUGUUUGUGUAAUUUUACCGCCUUGCUGAGUUAACGUGCUUUUUUUACUGCAGUGAAACGCGAACAAAAGAAUGGAAAGCAACAACAGGUCCACUGUGUAACUUCUUCCUCAAAACUAUGGCCACCUCUCACAAUUCGAUGUUAUUUUGCUGCAGGAAAUACGUUACGUGAUAUGAGCGUAAGGGUUGGCUUUCCAACUCCUGAGACUAAUGAGAUCUUGGGUUCUUGCUGAGAUUUAUUCAAAGACUUGGUAUUAAGCUCAUCAUGCACACUAGAAACUGGCAUCUGAGAACUCAAUGAACAUUUCCAUGAGGUGGUUGAUGUUGAGAAGGUUCCACAUGCAAAUUUUCCAUUCCUAUUCCUUCACCCUGCGACUGUCCAUAAGGUAAACCGCCAAAUCGUUGGUGAGAUUGAUACCCCUGUAACACAUUAGAAAGCAUUUGUUGUUGUUGGUGUAUUAACAGUUGUUGCUCCUCCUGCUUCUGCUGUUUGUUCCGGGAAAGUGAUGUCAGACAAAAUUUGUGAAAUUCUAAAUGAAUUGUUAUCAUUAUUAACCAGUUGGGUCCAGGAUUCCUUUUGCAGCCAUGAAGAACCUCUGCCGGUUAUUUUUGGAGCCGUCUUGUGCUGAGUUUCAGCAAGUUCUUCUAGCACUGGUGAAUUGGCAGGUUGAGAUUCAGUAUGCUCUUCUACCACAUGUGCAUUGGUAGGUUGAGACUCAGCAGGUUCUUCUGUAUUUUUAACACACUCUCAAAUUAGUCGAUCUGAAUGUGAUAAAGCAAGGCUUUUGUAAAUGAUUCCUGUAUUCUGUUUCUUUAAUUUAUUUGAUAGGUUUGGCAAUGGAAGACUUGAUGCAUUUGACGGUCUGAACUGUGCUGUUAUUGCAGGUCGUGUGUUCUGAGUGCAGCAAGCUGAGAUAUUAGAUUCCUCAUCAAGAAGCGUUGCAGCAGUGAACUCCACCAGUGCCCUAUCCCAAUCUUUAACCCUUAAUGGUUGUGUAUAACCAAUAAGGACAUGCUCAGAGACCUGUUUUGGAUCGUACAAUUAGAUUCCUCAUCAAGAAGCGUUGCAGCAGUGAACUCCACCAGUGCCCUAUCCCAAUCUUUAACCCUUAAUGGUUGUGUAUAACCAAUAAGGACAUGCUCAGAGACCUGUUUUGGAUCGUACCAUGCAUUUCGAACUGCAGCGGUACCAAACUCAUCAAUUGCCAUUCUUACCAGCAUUAUUGCAGGGGAAGAAAGUAGGAUAGUUGAUAACAGCUUCCUAUUCAAAGAGUUGAGUAUAUCUAUCAUAGGCUUCAUCAUCUUUGUUAUGGUCAUUGCAACGUUCUUGAUAAUUUUGGACAACAACAUGUAAAGUUCAACAAUUGGAUUUUUUUUAAUAGAACCAUUGUCUUCUUUCAUUUCAUUAUUUGGUCUUGGUUGAUUCUCUUUCUCUGUUGGUUUUCUUCUUCUUCUUUUUUUGAUGGUUUGAGUUUGACUUUCUCAGGACUCCUUAAAGGAGCGGUUAAGGCAGAUUUCAUCUUCAUUGUGGAUGAACGUUCCUGUACUUCUGCUUCAUCGAUAACUCACCCUGCUGAAGUGUGGAACAAGCAUUGAGUGCUUUUCACCCUCAUGUAAGCUCUUUGACAAGUAUGACUCAGCAACUACAGGAAGAAAAUCUUUCAUCUGAAUCUCAGCAUCCGUAAAUGUGGUUUGGCUAUCAAGAUGAACUGUAGCCUUUGAAGUAAGUGAGGAAUCUUGAAGAAAAUACAGCAAAGGCUUCUUGAUGUUGAAUUUGUCGUUAGGGUAUAAAAGAGAUGACGAGUCUGAUGAGAAUGAUUGUUGAGGUUCAUUAAUGGCUGACAACUGCAACUUCAUCAAGUCUAAUAACAAGGAUAUAUUUGCACCAUCUGUACGCGGCUCAGCAGUUCCUGAUUUUAGGAGGUUUGAAACUGUAUCAUGCUUAGUGCAUUUCUCAACAAUGCCAAAACCUAAAAGUACUGCAUUUGAGCAGGAUUCUUGUGCAUCAAUUGAUACCAGCCAUUGAGCAGAGGAAUCAACAUUGACGAGCUGACUUUCAUCAAACCAUUUAUUUUGCUGUUAACUUGUUGAACUUUGAGCUGAUGGACACUUUUUGCAGGCAUUUGUUCAAGUUACGGGUGGUAUACUCUUUACCCAAGUGAGUUUGCAUUGCAGGAGGUCCAAGUGAUGGAAGCGGUAACUUCUUGGUCUCUAACUACCCUUCAUGUGCAUUGCAGGGUCGGUGAGUUUAUGCAGAAACGCUGCAUUUGACGUUGUGCAAAUUUCUUAGAACAUGGCAUAUUCUAUUGAGCUGUCAUAUGCAUGAUAGAUUUACAUCUUCGGUUGGUCCUUUGCAGGUCACGCACACAUGGACAGAAUUAGCAUGAAAGCUCCCACUUGCAACUGCUGAAUUGCCUUGGAAUGAAUGAAGAGAAAGACUAAGAUCCUGUGUCGAGCUGUUUGUUCUUGAGAUCACAAGAAAAGUGGCUUUGAAAAUUCAUCGAAUUGCCAACAAAACUCGUCGGAAAAACGUGAAAGCAUCAUUGUCAAUACUUGAUUGAAUGAAAUCUGAAUGAUUAUAGUUCUGCUGCAAAUUGUAACAAGAAGAUUAUGAAUUUUCCGCCGCGAUAACCAUUUUAAUUGUCUUUGUAAACCAUUAUUGUUAUCCUCCUUGAACUUGAAUCAUUUCUCCACCAGUACUCUUCAUUAAUUUCUCUAGUUUGGAAAUUUCAAAACAAACGCUUAUAUUAUGCUUAUGAUAUUUCCUUUAUCAACUGCUGCUAUAUAAAAAAAAGCAUACAACUCCGAAGGAACAUGAACAUGUAAUUUCCUCAAUUAGUAGAAGAGGCUUAUAGGCGUAAAUGAACGAGUUGUGACACAAAUUUGACAUCUAAUGUGGUAGAAUGUUUCUUAUUUUGGCACCUGAGGUGCUACCACAGUUUUCGAAUAAUUAGCCAUUUCACCAUUACCAACAGAAGGUAGUUUUUGGCCAGGCACAUCGACCAAACAUCGAAUCUCGGUACUACUUAUAGGAUAAAACAAAAUUGGCGAAGGAUCACCCAAGAUAACAUGUCCAUGAUCUUCAUAUGGAAGGUUCACAAUUUUCCAAUAUCAAUCCAACAAAAUGAGAAGGAACUUCAACUUGGAUUACAAAGAGAGCGUCUCAAGUUAGAAAAACAACCAUCACAUACUAUGGUGGAGGAGCCUUUGUUGUAAACUCUUGUCCACUCUUGUUUUUUAUAGUUUACCCUUUUGAUGGUUCAUUUUUCUUCGAGUAAAGACGUGACGGUUCUUGUUCUAAUUUUACAUUUGGAAGGAUGAAGCCUUUUCUCGCAUUUGUUGUAUGAAACGACCAUUGUGAAAGCUUCUUCCAGAUACAUCCGAGUCAAAAUUUUCUAAGGGAUAAGACAACUUGGUGUUUUUCCCAUCCUUAUAAAGAGCAUAGCCAAAGACUCUUUGUGCAUCAAUUUCAUCCACACAGUCUUCAAGACCCAACUCAAGUAACUUUAGAUAUCCACCGGGUUGUAACAAUUCACCUACAAUCAUAUCCGGUUCACUCAAAUCUCUUUCAAUCACAUGCACUCGCCGUCCAUCCUUUCCAAGUGUAUAAGCAAGAGCAACAUUGUCUAAACAAUCAGUGUAGGUGGAUAGAUUUGUGACCAAAUGAAAUGGUCAUGAGGAGGAGAGAAAAUGGAUGAUUGAUGGAAAAAUUUUCAGGACCAAAAUCAAGGUAAGACAGUUGCCCCUAUUUAAACAUCCUCCACCAGAGGAAAAUGAAACAUCACUUUUCAUCGGAUCACAGUGGGGGAUGGUUAAAUACUAUGGAGACCCAGAUUUUGAUCCUGAAAAAUGCAAAUGUUAUGAUAUGAUAUGCAUGGAUGCAUGAUUCUUUUGGAUUUACCCGUUAGGGACACGGUGAAUCCUUAACAGGAGAUGCUACCGGACAGACCAAUCUGUGGGGAAUGCUAAUGGUCCACGGGGAGACAAACAAAAGGUAAAAACCAACUCGCUGGGGAUAACAAUCCUGCUGGAGAGUCAGACACACACUGGGGAGUAAUCGAAGUGAAAGGUGACAAACGACACUUAGAACACCGGAUAUUUUGACAGUAAGUUCACACAUGACUUACUACAACUUGAAUAUUUUGAGAAAAUUUCCACAACAAGUUCAUACAUGACUUGACAACAUUGGAACAAAAGGUUCAGCAACAGGUUCAUACAUGAAUGACUUACUACAACUUGAAUAUUUUGAGAAAAUUUCCACAACAAGUUCAUACAUGACUUGACAACAUUGGAACAAAAGGUUCAGCAACAGGUUCAUACAUGACCUGACAACACUGGAACAAUCAAAGAAAAAGAUUCUUCAAAACAGGUCCAAACAUGACCUGGUAAUACUGGAAUAAAGGCUCAAAAGCAACGGGUUCAUACAUGACCUGACAAUGCUGGGGAAUACGAAGAACGAUUCUGACAGCAGGCUCAGACAUGACCUAACAAUGUUGGGGGAUAUCAAAAAGGUUCCAUAAACAGAUUCAAACAUGACCUGACAAUACCGGAAAACGUACAAAGAAAUUUCCAUCAACAGGCUCAUACAUGACCUAACAGCAUUGGAAAAUUCGAAGCGUUUCAACAAUAGGCUCAAACAUGACCUAAGAAAAUUAGAAAACCAAAGAUUUUUUUUUAAUCAACAAGUUCAUAUAUGACCCCAACAUUUGGAUAUUCAAAGAAAGUUUCACUCACAGGUUCAGACAUGACCUGACGAUUCUGGAGAAAGUCAAAGAAUUUAAUAACAGGUUCAGACGUGACCUGACAAACUAGACAACACAAAGAAAACUUCAACCAUAGGUUCAUACAUGACCUGAAAAGACCGAAAAACAUACAUAUCAAGUUUCAUCAAUAGGUUCAUACCUGACCUGACACUUUAGAAUACUUCUGACAAUUCUGGAGAUUUCUCACAAGAAAUUCAUCCAAUCAAAGAUUUUGGAGAUUCUUAAUAGGGAAAUUAUGCAAAACAAAGAUAAGCAGGAGUCUUUCUUAAUAGUAGAUCAUCCGGCAAAAAGGCUAGAUAUAAUUUAUCAAAGAAAUCAAAAAAACAACUCAUUGGAGUUUUCUAACACGAAAAACCUCCAAGCUUCUGGGAAUUCCUCAAGAUGAUAAGUCAUACAUGACUUUCACGGAACCAUCAGGAAAGACAGGGUAAUUAAACUCUCUGUACGUGCCAAACAACGGUUGGACUUUUAACCGUAAGUAAUGGAUUACAACCAACUUUUAACGGACAGGUGCCAACAACAAUUGGACUUUGACUGUAAGCAAUGGAUUACAACCAGCUUUUAACAGAUUGGUGCCAACAACAAUUGGACUUUAACUGUGAGCAAUGGAUUACAACCAACUUUUAACAGAUUGGUGCCAACAACAGUUGGACCUGAAACAAUGUUGGCGACAACCAAACUUCAUAUAUUAAUUACAAAUGUAUUUACAAACAGACUGACAGUGAUGCCAAUGACAAUUGGGUUUAAAACGAGUUAUAGUAACAACUAAACUUGGAAUAAUGCCUAGUGACAACUAAAUUUUAGGAGACACCAAUGCGUAUAGAAAUAAUGCUAGGGAAUGACAUAGGGGUUAUAGAAGUGUAUCAGAAAAAAAAUGACAUGUCCGAGAAUUCAUCGGAGAGUAAAAGAAAUAAAUUCUGGAAAUGCAUCAGAAUACAAACACAUCUGGUAAUACAUUGAGGAAAUUCUGGAAAUACAUCAGAAUACAAACACAUUCGAGAAUACAUCAGAUAGGUGGGGAAACAUCUAGAAAUACAUCAGACAAGUUAUAGAAAUACAUCAAUAAACAAAGGAGUAAUCCAAAAAUUCAUCGGAUUAUCCUAAAAGGAAUUCAAUCUCAUGGACAAAAUUGCUAACUAAGUUGGAUUGGAAGAUGACUGCGAAAACUGGAUGAUGGAUUAAGGUCCCCAAAGACAAACUGAAAUUAGAGGUCAAAGGAUAUAGGAUCAACAACAAGACCCGGGUCAAUGCAAAAUGAGCACGGAGUACAUUUCGGCUAUGCAUGACUUGAAUUUCUUUUUAUGCGUGAUAUAUGAAUGAUCAUGAUAUAAAAAUGAUGACACUUGAGUGGACUGGAAAUUUGAAAGCACGAAGAAAGAGGUUCUGCCCCUCUGUGGCUCAUCUUGCCCCAGUCUGUUGGGUCUUUGAAAAUGUUCACCUUGAAAGUGGGUUUGAAACAGCUUGACAUGAGACGAUCUCAAGAUGGCUUGCCCCAAGAGGCUCAUCUUGCCCCAGUCUGUUGGGUCUUUGAAAAUGUUCACCUUGAAAGUGGGUUUGAAACAGCUUGACAUGAGACGAUCUCAAGAUGGCUUGCCCCAAGUGUUCGAGACUUGCAGUGGUCUACCUCUGAUUAACCAAAUCUUGGAACGAUAGACUUUUGAUUCAUCAAAUUUGAAAGCACGAAGAAAGAGGUUCUGUCCCUCUAUGGCUCAUCUUGCCCCAGUCUAUUGGAUCUUUGAAAAUGUUCACCUUGAAAGUCGGUUUGAAACAACUUGACAUGAGCCGAUCUCAAGAUGGCUUGCCCCAAGUGUUCGAGACUUGCAGUGGUCUACCCCUGAUUAACCAAAUCUAGGAACGAUAAACUUUUGAUUGACUGUCCUUGGCUUGUUGAACUCAAUGAGCUUAUGAGGUGGCUUGUCCCUGUCUGAGUCUUGAAGCAAAUUACUCUUAGCUAGAUGACCAUUAGGGUGAUUGGCUUGGAUUGACCGAUACUCAAAGUGAUUUCCCCUGACAAGACUUCUUUCACUUUAUCAAGUUCUUCAACUGUAUAUUAUUGGAAUUUAUUUGAUGCUAAGUGUUGACUCGCAAAUAAGAUUGUUCAUUCAAAAAUGGUAAUUUUAAUUCAAUGCUUAUGCAAAAAUUUGAAAUCAAAGUUUAUUGAUAUGAAUGGGUGAAAUACAUUGGACGAGUCAUUGAUAAGAACACAAUGGUGAUCAAGUCAUUCACAGUAUGAAAGUUGGUGCGAUCAAAUGAUUAACAAAAAUCGUUUGGAGUCAGGUUAACACAACCUUGUUGUAGUAUGCUUUCAGAAUAAACUCUGCCUCAAUUAGGUCUUUUAAGGAUUGUAACGUGGUUUGGUUCACGGUUUUUUUGAAACAAAAGGAUAUAAGGCUCAAAACUUAUUUUUACCCACCCCUUCUUCUUGAUGUUCUCCAGUUCCUAUGUUCAGUUAAUUCAAUACACGCAUUCGACUUCGAAGGUGCGAAAGUGAAAAUGAGGGUUCAAGGUGAGAUUUUCUUGAAAUGGCAGUCACCUUAUUUUGUUUUUGUUGAGGAUUUAAUGACCUAUUUUGAUUGAUUUUCUUUAUCCCUACUUUUGCCUGGACCGCUUCUUUGAAGCUUUAGGUCCAUCGGGAUGCCCUGACUUUUGCCUAAGUCAUUUUGUGAUGUUUGACUUAGCGGACUUUUUCUGUUUUUUUUACGUGUUGACUGCCAGGUUAUUGGUGGAUGAGGAUCAACCAACACUAAUUUUAGCUUUUCUCAACUUCUUCGACAACUCAACAUGUGCGCGAAGGAUAACAUGUGGUUGAACCUAAUUGGAGGGUGUACAUAUGGACGAGUUUUUUUGAAAGAUCGAAUGCACGGUCAAACUAUCUGAACACAACUACCUUGCCCCAGGUUAAGAUUAAGGGUUUUAGAUCCGAAAUAAACACCAACUUCUAGGCUCAAAGUGGUUGUCUAGGGAUUAACUCCUUAUCACUUCAGUGUUUGGGGAUUUGAAAUAAUGCCUUACAUCAUCGACAAGGUUUUACUCAAAAGCAUACCACAACAAUUUUCAGGUGUUUCGUUUUCAUCAUCCUCCUUCCAAUCUUUGUUAACACAACGGUUUGAUAAACAAAAGUGAAUGAGAGGAGUAUUUUUGUUUUUAACAUGAAUGAAAAACGAGUGAAUACGAAUGGAAUUUGAUAAACAAAAGUGAAUGAGAGGAGUAUUUUUGUUUUUAACAUGAAUGAAAAACGAGUGAAUACGAAUGGAUCAAUUCAAAAGAUGCAUAAACAUUUCAUUAAUCUUACCAAUUCAAAGAAAACCACAAUGCUUAAAAGCAAUUAACAAUCAACAUGCAAAGAAACUACAAAAGAAGUGUUGAAACAACCAAAUGAUUGCCAGCUUUAGGGAAUGACUUCUUCAAACUUGAUCCAUUAACUUGUGGGGACACCCCUUGAGACCUUCGCACUUAUCCGGUCGAUGGGUUAACGUUUACCACCAAGCUUUCUCCUUGAAAGGCUAUGUACCUGUUGUCCAUCAACUAUUGUACUUUGGCUUUGAAAGCGCUGCAAUCUUCAGUUGAGUGCCCUUCUGAUUCGGCAUGAUAUCCACAUUUCACGUUUGGGUCAUACCUGGGUGGGUAAGGUUGUGGAACCGGCUUAAGAGACUUGGGAACCACCAACGAGUUUUGAAUCAGAGGUUGUAGAAUUUGGUUAUGUGUUGUGACAUUGGAAAUCCAAGGCGAUAUCUCAGUGCUCUUACUAGGAAAUGAUGAUAUCUCAUUAGCCACAUCCUUGACAUCAUCCUUGUGGUACAAAACCUUGAGGGGUUUCAGGGGUCAUUUCCCUUUCACAUUACUUGGCCCAGAAAUCAAGAUAUAUGUACCUGAGCCUUCCUCCUUCAAUGCUUCUUGAAUUUUCCUUAGACAUGAUUUCCCUUUCACAUUACUUGGCCCAGAAAUCAAGAUAUAUGUACCUGAGCCUUCCUCCUUCAAUGCUUCUUGAAUUUUCCUUAGACAUGGUUCUUUGUUCUAAACGCGUGUCAGGAAUCACUUUGCUAGUCAUGGACAAAUGAUGGAUGAGUUUUUUUGUAUUUUGUCUGAAAAAUGACAUGCAUUAUGAUGAGAUGCAGAUGCAAUGGAAUGCAAUACAAGCCCUGCAUAUUUGUUUUUUUCUCAAUACACGGGUUCAAAAGUCUGAGGUACUGAUGAAUCUGAUUACUUUCCAAGAAUAGGUUCUCACCUGGUAUGAUCUAGGGUUUCAAAAAAGUUCCUAGAGUCAUGGAUCCAUUAGACUGUUUGCUGCCUAUGGCAACUUACUUGCCGGGCAUCAAAUCCAUCCAAAGAAUCUACUCUAAGUGAGGUUCUCGCAUCGAUCCAACGAGAAAUUCAUCUCGCAGACCCACACUACGCAACCAUCUUUCCUAGUUGGACAUUGGAUUAAGGUUCUAUGAAUGGUCCUCAGAGUCAUGGAUCCUAAAGAAAAUAUCGAAGCUUACGGCAACUUACUUGCCGAGCGACAACAUCCUCUCAAGAAUCUACUCUAAGUAAGGUUCUCCCACCGACCCAACGAGAAAUUCAUCUCGCGGACCCGCACUACUCAAUCUUGUCCUAUCUUAUGUUUUUACUCGAGACUCGGGUAAAAAGUCUUUCCCUCAAGGUUUGCAAUCAGAGUAUCAAAGUGCCAAAGCAUAUCGAACCAAUACAACAAAUUUAUAUCAAUAUGACAAUAAAGAUAGCAAAACAAUAAAGAAAAAGCCACACAGGUAAACAAACAAAGGCACACAAACGAUCUAACUAGGCUUGACUCACUUAGGGAGUUAUGGUAGUCCCCAGCAGAGUCGUCAUCUGUCGCACCUCAAGGAAAAAUGGGAAUACGACCUAAGCGAAGCACAAUCGCACGCUCGCAAUGAUGGACUAAACAGAGUCGCCACCGAACUUUAUUUAUUCCUAAAAAGAAAAGGGGAAAUAUCGAUAAAACCCAAGACAAAACAUAAUGAUUAUUGGUCGUCGCAACCAAAUCAGGGUUCGGGAGUCGAUUACGCAAGGGGAAGGUAUUAGCACCCCUCACGUCCGUUGUACUCAACGGGAACCAUUAGGUUAGUUGCGUGCGUUAGUGUUAGUUGAAAUGUUAGGCUUUUCAAGUUAUUAGGUGGGAAAGAAAGAAUAGAAGAAAGGAGAAUGUUUUUGGAAUUUUGACAAAGGACUAAACCAAAGUUUUUUAUCAGUGGGCCUGACAAGAUUUACGAAUCCUGCUCCUACGUAUCUCAACAGAGAAAUCAAGGCUUACGUAGUUCUGGGUAGAAAAAUGUUUGUUUGUUGGUCGAUUUUAGCGAAAGCUAUAUUGUAUUAAUCGACGAAAAAGAGUUUGAUUGGUUGGACGUAUUUUCGAGUAAUGGCGAGAACUUGGAUGAGCGAGAUAUCCAUCUCGAAUCCUAGUCUCAAGAAUGCACAGUAUACACCAUGUUCCAUUUCCAUCUUUAUUGAAAAAUGGUUUAAUAAAGAUUAAGUGUUUUGAAUUUGAUUGAGAAAGGGGUUUGAAGAAACCGCAUUGACAAUUUUAGACGAUGGCGAGAGCUAAGAUAGGCGAGACAUCCGCCUCGAAUCUUAAUCUCAGGAGUGCACGGUAUACACCAUGUUCCAUUUCCAUCUUUAUUGAAAGAGGUUAAGAUCGGAAUUAAGUAUUUUGAAGUUUGAAAGACGAGUACUUGUGACUUGCAAGUCUUAACAGCUUGGGUCUAAUACUCGGGACUACGUCUGGACCAUUCCACCCAGCAGUCCUAUUUUUUCAAUUUGUUAAGAAAAUGGUUCGAAUAUUUACGAAUGUUUUGGAGGAAGACGAAUAUUUAUGGCUGCAAGCUCUUACAGCUUGACCUACUAUUCGGAUUAUAACUGGAUAUUCCAUCCAGGAUAAUCUUUUUCUUCAAAUUUGUUAAGAAGAUGGUUUGAGAUAUUUACAGGUGUUUUGAGAGAAAGACGAAAUAUUAUGGCUUUCUUACAACUUGACCUACUCGGGAUAUAACGGAUAUUACAUCCAGGAUAAAUCUUUCUUCAAAUUUAUUAAGAAAUGGUUGAGAUAUUUACAGGUGUUUUGGAGAGAAGACAAUAUUUAAUGGUGCAAGCUCUUAUAGCUUGAGCCUAAUAUUCGGGAUUAUAAUUGUAUAUUCCAUCUAGGAUAAUCUUUUUCUUCAAAUUUUAAUAAAUAAAUACGUUUGAAUAGAAGGAUUAAUGUGAAUGUUUGAGGCGUUGGUCAAUUAGAUUGAUAUGGCGCAUGAGUUUGUGGAGAAUAUGUCCAAAAGUAAACCGGACGAAAUAAAUAAAUAAAUAAACAAAUUAUUUAUAACAUAUUAAAAAAAUUAAAUCGGAGAGAAUAAAAUCAACAAGCGUAAAAAAGGACUAGAUAACAAGGUACAAAAUGGUAAGAUAAAUAGUAAGAAAUUAUAAAAUUUUUAAAUAAAAUAGUAAGUAUAAAAAAUAUAACAAAUGGAGAUAUGCUAUUCCCAAGUAUCAAACCCAUCCCAUUAAAGAAAGUGAAAUUUCUUCCUCUCCACUCAACCACUUGUGUUCAUUUGUUACCUUAACAACAACUUGAAUAUAUAAACAAGAAUAGAUUAAAAAUAAAGAAACUAGAACGAGAUGGUCUGUUGGGCUGACCAAAGCCCACAAAAAUGGAGAGAGGGAUCCCAAAGAUUAACCCUAGCCGCCUGGCUGUUGGGUGGGAAUAACAACACUUUAAUCAACAUUAAUACCAGCAGACAAAAGUUAAUAAAAAAUUGCAAGAAAAACCAAAUGGUAGGUGGGUUUUAAUUAGGUUUUAAAUGCCUUUUUAAAAUAAAUAAAAGAAAAGGAAAUGAAGGACAUCGUAACAAGUCCAAAAGAUUCGUUCGUCUCCCUCAAAGAACGCCUUUCCCUCUCUCAAUCUCUCCCUAAAUGCAGACGCUUCGAUACUCUUCAAAAAAUUCCUUAAAAUAAAUGCAAGAAUCUGAAGGGAAGUGGAACAAGUCACAACAUCUUCCGUUCAUCACUUUCAAAACCCUCUCUCUAAAUACUUAUUUCAAUCCCUUCUAAAUGCAAAAACCGUGGCUUCAAAAUAAAAUCAAACAAGAACACUCACCUUCGUCGCUUGUUCUUCAGAAAUCUCCUUCUUGAUUUCGUAACGAAGAUGAUAGAAGAUUGGAUAUUCUGCGGUGGUUCGGCGGUGAUGGUGAUGCUUGGAUCUUCCUCUCUUUGCCUCAAAGUUUUUAGGGUUUUUUCUCUUCCGCCGCUGUCUCUUUUUUUUUCUUCUUUCCUAGGGUUUUUCGUCCCCUCUCCUUUUAUACUAACUAUGUUAGGGUUUCAGAUUCGACUUAUGGAGAUCAAAAGGGUAUCCCUUGGAAGUGCUUUAAGGUGCUUCAGCUUUGUCUGCCUCAUUUGACGUUUGACCUGGAAAAGGUAAUAUGAACCACGUACUUUCCUCUUGAAUUUGCCUUAAUUCCUCUUUUGGGUUGUUUGUGGAAUUUUACCGCCUUGCUGAGUUAACGUGCUUUUUUUACUGCAAGUUGAAGAGACGCGAAGCAAAUCGAAGGAAAGCAACAACAGGUCCACUGUCUAUCUUCCUUCCUCAAAACUAUGGCCACCUUCCUUUAUACUCACUAUGUUAGGGUUUCAGAUUCGCUUAGUGGAGAUCAAAAGGGAUCCUUGGAAGUGGCUUUAAGGGUGCUUCAGCUUUGUCUGCCUCAAUUGACCGCUUGACCUGGAAAAGGUAAUAUGAACCACGUCUUUUCUCUUGAAUUUGCCUUAAUUCCUCUUUUGGGUUGUUUGUGGAAUUUUACCGCCUUGCUGAGUUAACGUGCUUUUUUUACUGCAGUGAAACGCGAGCAAAAGAAUGGAAAGCAACAAUAGGUCCACUGUCUAUCUUCUUCCUCAAAACUAUGGCCACCUCUCACAAUUCAAUGUUAUUUUGCUGCAGGAAAUACGUUACGUGAUGUGAGCGUAAGGGUUGGCUUUCCAACUCCUGAGACUGAUGCGAUCUUGGGUUCUUGCUGAAAUUUAUUCAAAGACUUGGUAUUAA
rnacentral:lncRNA from 1 species